CAGUCGCCGCGGUAAUACGAAGGGGGCUAGCGUUGCUCGGAAUUACUGGGCGUAAAGCGCACGUAGGCGGAUAUUUAAGUCAGGGGUGAAAUCCCAGAGCUCAACUCUGGAACUGCCUUUGAUACUGGGUAUCUUGAGUAUGGAAGAGGUGAGUGGAAUUCCGAGUGUAGAGGUGAAAUUCGUAGAUAUUCGCAAGAACACCAGUGGCGAAGGCGGCUCACUGGUCCAUAACUGACGCUGAGGCACGGAAGCGUGGGGAGCAAACAGGAUUAGAUACCCCGGUAGUCCCUGUCUCUUAUAC
rnacentral:rRNA from 1 species